rnacentral:rRNA from 1 species
CCUACGGGCGGCAGCAGUGGGGAAUAUUGGACAAUGGGGGCAACCCUGAUCCAGCCAUACCGCGUGUGUGAAGAAGGCCCUCGGGUUGUAAAGCACUUUCAGUGAGGAAGAACGCCUGGUGGUUAAUACCCAUCAGGAAAGACAUCACUCACAGAAGAAGCACCGGCUAACUCCGUGCCAGCAGCCGCGGUAAUACGGAGGGUGCGAGCGUUAAUCGGAAUUACUGGGCGUAAAGCGCGCGUAGGUGGCUUGAUAAGCCGGUUGUGAAAGCCCCGGGCUCAACCUGGGAACGGCAUCCGGAACUGUCAAGCUAGAGUGCAGGAGAGGAAGGUAGAAUUCCCGGUGUAGCGGUGAAAUGCGUAGAGAUCGGGAGGAAUACCAGUGGCGAAGGCGGCCUUCUGGACUGACACUGACACUGAGGUGCGAAAGCGUGGGUAGCAAACAGGAUUAGAUACCCUGGUAGUC